rnacentral:rRNA from 1 species
GAAUAUUGGACAAUGGGCGAAAGCCUGAUCCAGCCAUGCCGCGUGUGUGAAGAAGGUCUCGGAUUGUAAAGCACUUUAAGUUGGGAGGAAGGGCAGUAAGCGAAUACCUUGCUGUUUUGACGUUACCGACAGAAUAAGCACCGGCUAACUCUGCGCCCGCCGCCGCGGUAAUACAGAGGGUGGAAGCGGUAAUCGGAAUUACUGGGCGUAAAGCGCGCGUAGGUGGGUCGGUAAGUUGGAUGUGAAAUCCCCGGGCUCAACCUGGGAACUGCAGCCAAAACUGGCGAGCUAGAGUAGGGCAGAGGGUGGUGGAAUUUCCCGUGUAGCGGUGAAAUGCGGAGAUAUAGGAGGGAACAACAGUGGCGAAGGCGACCACCUGGGCUCAUAAUGACACUGAGGUGCGAAAGCGUGGGGAGCAAACAGG